AUAAUUUCAGUAACCAUAACUGGCUUUGAAGGGGCAGAUCAAAAUGCCUACUAGUAGGAAGCUAUUUUAGACACUCUUUUUCAUUACAUUCCUAAAACAGAAUUGUACAGAGCCUGUAAGUGGAACAUAGCCCCAGACUUGCAUCAAAACAUAAAUUAUGAACAAGUUCCUUCUAGUGUUGGAAGAGACAAAGGCCACUGUCAGUUAGGAUCUAUGAGACCUCUUAUGUUGUCUGGCAAUCAGCAGCCAAAAAUUUAAAUACUGAAUUCUUCCUGCUAAACUAAUUAACUGCUUCUACAAAGCUUCUUGUUCCAGGCAAAGCUGUUUAAGUCUGGUCAAUAAAGGGUUUUGCUUGGCAUAAUGUAAGUAAGACUUUCACAAACAUGCUGCUACUCCAGUAAGAAAUCUGAUAUUUUAUUUUCUAGUAUACAGGGAAGUGCACAAAGCCUUCAGGAUAUCCUUUGAUUUCAUUAAAAAAAAAAAAUUCAUAUAUAUGCUCCUUGCUGAAGCUCAUCAGCAGUAAUGCCGGAUUUUUUUUCUUUUUCUUGUUAGUUUAAAUUAGGUAGUGUGAAAUGAAGUAAACUUCAGGUCACAUAUCUUAGUGAUAUUUUAUAAUUCACAUAGUUUAGUGAAAUAUUGCUAGAAUCUGUUCAAGAGCAGAGUACAUAUUUGCUCUUAAGAAGAUGGGUGAGGAUUCCUAACUGGAAGCAAACUGCAGUGGCAUCACAGGAGAACAGAAGGGAGGCCUCAGGAUAAUUUUAGAGGAAAAUGUGAACGUGAUUGAUUCCUCUCCAUUAAGCAAGAAUUUUACAAAUACUGUUAAAGAUUUUCUCCAGGGAACCGCACGUUUGUAUUUCUUAUACGGUAUAUUUCCUUAGAUCUAAGUGAGAGUCACCAUAUGUUUAGGAUUCAAAAUUUCAAUCCAGUAGCCAUCAGGAUCCUGAACAAAUGCAAGUCCUUUCAUUUUACCAUCAUCAGGUUUCUUCACAAAUUUCACUCCUAGUUCUUCGAACCUCUUACAAGCUUUAUUAACAUCAGGGACAGCAAUUCCAAUGUGCCCAAAUCCUCGGGGAUCUGAAUUGCCAUUAUGAUAGGACUGCUUUUCAUCAUUUUCAGUGCCCCAGUUGUGUGUCAGUUCAAGUGUAGCUUUUCUGGAGAAGGUCCAAGAUGUUCUCUCAGCUUUAUCUUUUGGGAUAUCGUUUUUAUCUUCAUAACCCAGGAAAUACAGUGAGAACUUCAUAGGAGGAAAGUCAAAUUUUUGAAGCAGUGUCAUUCCAAGAACUCUUGUAUAAAAAUCCAGUGACUUCUUAGGAUCCUUUACUCUUAACAUUGUCUGCUGAAAUAUAAAAUCCUUCGUGCUGGGAUCCGGCUCCGAGCAGGCGCUAUAGGCAGCCUCAUCGCUCAGACCGCUCGGUUCCGCCAUGUUGGGCGCAAGAAAAGGAGGGGCGGGAGGAGAGGGCGGUGCAAAGGUGGUGCUGCGCCCCGCACUUGCUCAGUUGCGUGUAAGACGUUUUCCGCAUCUGAGCGGCUGGUUAGCGCCCAAACGAAACGCUGCUUUGCUUAGCACUUCGUUCCAGCUGACAGCACUUUAAGGCGUUUUCAUAGCCCGGUGUUAUGCCUUCACACCAUAAGUCUAAAAACACACCUAACGUGUGGUUUAUUCCUUUGGGGAAUUAGAGAUGUCAGUUUCCACCUGCCUCGAAUACUCAGCAAAAAAAAAAAAUUAAAAAAUUACACUUUUGUUAAGAAAAGUAGUACGGGACAGGCAGACGGCUGCCCCUCCGCUUUAUGCCUUCC
rnacentral:lncRNA from 1 species